rnacentral:lncRNA from 1 species
CUCCUCUAAUUACACAUGUAUUUAGAAGUCCAACACGUCUUGUAAUUACACUUAAUAAAGUGUUAUUUGAAUAGAACUAUUAAGAAAAUUAAAUUCCAGCCAACUAUUUUCUCUCGGCAACAGGCAACAACUCCAAAUUAAUGUUUCUACUUUUUAGACCUAUAUAUAAUCUCUUUUUUUUUGCUUUGCACCGCAACAAAUGUGCUAAAGUUUCUAUUUGGCGCCAAAAACUCCAAUAAUUGUGGCAACAACCGAAAACAGAAGUGAAAAAUAGGACAAAUUAGGCACUAAGAUGGCCUGACCCAAGUAGGGUUGGGAAAAUUAAAAGUUAGAAUAAACCAACUACUCUGCCUCUAGUGUCAAAAAGGAAAUAAUACUAUACUGUUUUAGUUAUUUCAGCCUUUAAUAUAUAUCUACUUGACCCUACCAAUCUAGGGUUUUUUUAUCCAAGAAGAAAUAUAUAUAUAUAUAGAGUUGAGCUGGAAUACUAUCAGUAGCAAACGGGCUCCGUUGCCACCCAUUUGUUUUCGAUGAUGGAGUCUCCAAAUCGACGAUCGGCACCGUUGAACAUAAUCUAUACUACUUGAAGUAUCUAGAAAUCAAAUUUUAUAUUUUUUCGAUAUUGUUCUCUGUCCAUCAAGUGGGCGUAAAAAUGAAUGGCUGAAAAUGAAUAUCCUCUAAAAAGUGAUGAUAGAAAUUUUGUAAUCAUGAUCGAGAAUAUAGAUCUUGUUCUAAAUAGUUUAAAGAAUUUUCUAACCAAAAUUCAAUUGAUUUGGAUAGCUUUACACCGUUAAACGAGAAAACCCCUCAUAUCAACCAUUAAAAUUACUAAUUUUGAAACCCUUUGAUCAUUAGGUAAAUGAUGUUGAAAAGAUUUGAAAUUUAAUUUCUAAAUACUUCAAGUGAUAUAGAUCAUGUUCAAUGGUGCCGAUCGUCGAUAUGAAAGCUCCAUCAUCGAAAACAAAUGGGUGGCAACGGAGCCCGUUUGCUACCGAUAGCAUUCUAGCUCAACUCUAUA